rnacentral:rRNA from 1 species
UACGUAGGUGGCAAGCGUUGUCCGGAUUUACUGGGCGUAAAGAGCGCGCUGGCGGUCGUUCAAGUCGCGUGUGAAAGCCCCCGGCUCAACUGGGGAGGGUCACGCGAUACUGAUCGACUCGAAGGCAGGAGAGGGUAGUGGAAUUCCCGGUGUAGUGGUGAAAUGCGUAGAUAUCGGGAGGAACACCAGUGGCGAAGGCGACUACCUGGCCUGUUCUUGACGCUGAGGCGCGAAAGCUAGGGGAGCAAACGGG